rnacentral:rRNA from 1 species
UACGUAGGCGGCUUAUCACAUCUCCUGUUAAAUCCCGAGGCUCAACCUCGGAACUGCGGGAGAGAUGGUUAGGCUAGAGGCCGGGAGAGGCAAGCGGAAUUGCUGGUGUAGGGGUUAAAUCCGUUAAUAUCAGCAGGAACACCAAAUGCGAAGGCAGCUUGCUAGAACGGUCCUGACGCUCAUGUACGAAAGCAUGGGUAGCGAACAGGAUUAGAUACCCUGGUAGUCC